rnacentral:lncRNA from 1 species
AACCGAGCGUAUUUCGUAUACAUACGCGGAUAUUAUCGAGUGCAAAGUAAAAAUGAUUCCUGAUCGCUUGUUUAAAUAAAUACAUAUUUCUACUACUAAUGAAAAUAUUUUUUUCAGAACAUUAAUUAAUUAUAUAAAAAAAAAAGUAAAAUAACAAUAAUACCGAACACCUAGGAAAAUUCAAAACGGAAAAUCUGCAAUCGAAAGCUCAAAC